rnacentral:rRNA from 1 species
ACUGUGUGUUGUUGGGUAGGGGAGCGUUCUGUAAGCCUGUGAAGGUGUGUCGUGAGGCAUGCUGGAGGUAUCAGAAGUGCGAAUGCUGACAUAAGUAACGAUAAAGCGGGUGAAAAGCCCGCUCGCCGGAAGACCAAGGGUUCCUGUCCAACGUUAAUCGGGGCAGGGUGAGUCGACCCCUAAGGCGAGGCCGAAAGGCGUAGUCGAUGGGAAACGGGUUAAUAUUCCCGUACUUGGUGUUACUGCGAAGGGGGGACGGAGAAGGCUAUGUUGGCCGGGCGACGGUUGUCCCGGUUUAAGCGUGUAGGUGUGUGUUCCAGGUAAAUCCGGUUCACUUUAACACUGAGGCGUGACGACGAGGCACUACGGUGCUGAAGCAACAAAUGCCCUGCUUCCAGGAAAAGCCUCUAAGCAUCAGGUAACACGAAAUCGUACCCCAAACCGACACAGGUGGUCAGGUAGAGAAUACCAAGGCGCUUGAGAGAACUCGGGUGAAGGAACUAGGCAAAAUGGUGCCGUAACUUCGGGAGAAGGCACGCUGACACGUAGGUGAAGUGAUUUACUCAUGGAGCUGAAGUCAGUCGAAGAUACCAGCUGGCUGCAACUGUUUAUUAAAAACACAGCACUGUGCAAACACGAAAGUGGACGUAUACGGUGUGACGCCUGCCCGGUGCCGGAAGGUUAAUUGAUGGGGUCAGCGCAAGCGAAGCUCCUGAUCGAAGCCCCGGUAAACGGCGGCCGUAACUAUAACGGUCCUAAGGUAGCGAAAUUCCUUGUCGGGUAAGUUCCGACCUGCACGAAUGGCGUAAUGAUGGCCAGGCUGUCUCCACCCGAGACUCAGUGAAAUUGAACUCGCUGUGAAGAUGCAGUGUACCCGCGGCAAGACGGAAAGACCCCGUGAACCUUUACUAUAGCUUGACACUGAACAUUGAGCCUUGAUGUGUAGGAUAGGUGGGAGGCUUUGAAGUGUGGACGCCAGUCUGCAUGGAGCCGACCUUGAAAUACCACCCUUUAAUGUUUGAUGUUCUAACGUGGACCCGUGAUCCGGGUUGCGGACAGUGUCUGGUGGGUAGUUUGACUGGGGCGGUCUCCUCCUAAAGAGUAACGGAGGAGCACGAAGGUUGGCUAAUCCUGGUCGGACAUCAGGAGGUUAGUGCAAUGGCAUAAGCCAGCUUGACUGCGAGCGUGACGGCGCGAGCAGGUGCGAAAGCAGGUCAUAGUGAUCCGGUGGUUCUGAAUGGAAGGGCCAUCGCUCAACGGAUAAAAGGUACUCCGGGGAUAACAGGCUGAUACCGCCCAAGAGUUCAUAUCGACGGCGGUGUUUGGCACCUCGAUGUCGGCUCAUCACAUCCUGGGGCUGAAGUAGGUCCCAAGGGUAUGGCUGUUCGCCAUUUAAAGUGGUACGCGAGCUGGGUUUAGAACGUCGUGAGACAGUUCGGUCCCUAUCUGCCGUGGGCGCUGGAGAACUGAGGGGGGCUGCUCCUAGUACGAGAGGACCGGAGUGGACGCAUCACUGGUGUUCGGGUUGUCAUGCCAAUGGCACU